GGUCAAGUGAAGAAGCGCAUACGGUGGAUGCCUUGGCAGUCAGAGGCGAUGAAAGACGUGGUAGCCUGCGAAAAGCUUCGGGGAGUCGGCAAGCAGACUGUGAUCCGGAGAUGUCUGAAUGGGGGAACCCAGCCAUCAUAAGAUGGUUAUCUUACACUGAAUACAUAGGUGUAAGAGGCGAACCAGGGGAACUGAAACAUCUAAGUACCCUGAGGAAAAGAAAUCAACCGAGAUUCCCUUAGUAGUGGCGAGCGAACGGGGACCAGCCCUUAAGUUGUAUUGAGAUUAGCGGAACGCUCUGGAAAGUGCGGCCAUAGUGGGUGAUAGCCCUGUACGCGAAAAUCCCUUUGCAAUGAAAUCGAGUAGGACGGGGCACGAGAAACCUUGUCUGAAUAUGGGGGGACCAUCCUCCAAGGCUAAAUACUACUGACUGACCGAUAGUGAACCAGUACCGUGAGGGAAAGGCGAAAAGAACCGCGGAGAGCGGAGUGAAAUAGAUCCUGAAACCGUAUGCGUACAAGCAGUGGGAGCCCACUUUGUUGGGUGACUGCGUACCUUUUGUAUAAUGGGUCAGCGACUUAUUUUCAGUGGCGAGCUUAACCGAAUAGGGGAGGCGUAGCGAAAGCGAGUCUUAAUAGGGCGUCUAGUCGCUGGGAAUAGACCCGAAACCGGGCGAUCUAUCCAUGGGCAGGUUGAAGGUUGGGUAACACUAACUGGAGGACCGAACCGACUACCGUUGAAAAGUUAGCGGAUGACCUGUGGAUCGGAGUGAAAGGCUAAUCAAGCUCGGAGAUAGCUGGUUCUCCUCGAAAGCUAUUUAGGUAGCGCCUCAUGUAUCACUGUAGGGGGUAGAGCACUGUUUCGGCUAGGGGGUCAUCCCGACUUACCAAACCGAUGCAAACUCCGAAUACCUACAAGUGCCGAGCAUGGGAGACACACGGCGGGUGCUAACGUCCGUCGUGAAAAGGGAAACAACCCAGACCGUCAGCUAAGGUCCCAAAGUCAUGGUUAAGUGGGAAACGAUGUGGGAAGGCUUAGACAGCUAGGAGGUUGGCUUAGAAGCAGCCACCCUUUAAAGAAAGCGUAAUAGCUCACUAGUCGAGUCGGCCUGCGCGGAAGAUGUAACGGGGCUCAAACCAUGCACCGAAGCUACGGGUAUCAUCUUAUGAUGAUGCGGUAGAGGAGCGUUCUGUAAGCCUGUGAAGGUGAGUUGAGAAGCUUGCUGGAGGUAUCAGAAGUGCGAAUGCUGACAUGAGUAACGACAAUGGGUGUGAAAAACACCCACGCCGAAAGACCAAGGUUUCCUGCGCAACGUUAAUCGACGCAGGGUUAGUCGGUCCCUAAGGCGAGGCUGAAAAGCGUAGUCGAUGGAAAACAGGUUAAUAUUCCUGUACUUCUGGUUAUUGCGAUGGAGGGACGGAGAAGGCUAGGCCAGCCUGGCGUUGGUAGUCCAGGUUUAAGGUGGUAGGCUGAGAUCUUAGGUAAAUCCGGGAUCUUAAGGCCGAGAGCUGAUGACGAGUGUUCUUUUAGAACAUGAAGUGGUUGAUGCCAUGCUUCCAAGAAAAGCUUCUAAGCUUCAGGUAACCAGGAACCGUACCCCAAACCGACACAGGUGGUUGGGUAGAGAAUACCAAGGCGCUUGAGAGAACUCGGGUGAAGGAACUAGGCAAAAUGGCACCGUAACUUCGGGAGAAGGUGCGCCGGUGAGGGUGAAGCAUUUACUGCGUAAGCCCACGCCGGUCGAAGAUACCAGGCCGCUGCGACUGUUUAUUAAAAACACAGCACUCUGCAAACACGAAAGUGGACGUAUAGGGUGUGACGCCUGCCCGGUGCCGGAAGGUUAAUUGAUGGGGUUAGCGCAAGCGAAGCUCUUGAUCGAAGCCCCGGUAAACGGCGGCCGUAACUAUAACGGUCCUAAGGUAGCGAAAUUCCUUGUCGGGUAAGUUCCGACCUGCACGAAUGGCGUAACGAUGGCGGCGCUGUCUCCACCCGAGACUCAGUGAAAUUGAAAUCGCUGUGAAGAUGCAGUGUAUCCGCGGCUAGACGGAAAGACCCCGUGAACCUUUACUAUAGCUUUGCACUGGACUUUGAAUUUGCUUGUGUAGGAUAGGUGGGAGGCUUUGAAGCGUGGACGCCAGUCUGCGUGGAGCCAACCUUGAAAUACCACCCUGGCAACUUUGAGGUUCUAACUCAGGUCCGUUAUCCGGAUCGAGGACAGUGUAUGGUGGGUAGUUUGACUGGGGCGGUCUCCUCCUAAAGAGUAACGGAGGAGUACGAAGGUGCGCUCAGACCGGUCGGAAAUCGGUCGUAGAGUAUAAAGGCAAAAGCGCGCUUGACUGCGAGACAGACACGUCGAGCAGGUACGAAAGUAGGUCUUAGUGAUCCGGUGGUUCUGUAUGGAAGGGCCAUCGCUCAACGGAUAAAAGGUACUCCGGGGAUAACAGGCUGAUACCGCCCAAGAGUUCAUAUCGACGGCGGUGUUUGGCACCUCGAUGUCGGCUCAUCACAUCCUGGGGCUGAAGCCGGUCCCAAGGGUAUGGCUGUUCGCCAUUUAAAGUGGUACGCGAGCUGGGUUUAGAACGUCGUGAGACAGUUCGGUCCCUAUCUGCCGUGGACGUUUGAGAUUUGAGAGGGGCUGCUCCUAGUACGAGAGGACCGGAGUGGACGAACCUCUGGUGUUCCGGUUGUCACGCCAGUGGCAUUGCCGGGUAGCUAUGUUCGGAAAAGAUAACCGCUGAAAGCAUCUAAGCGGGAAACUUGCCUCAAGAUGAGAUCUCACUGGAACCUUGAGUUCCCUGAAGGGCCGUCGAAGACUACGACGUUGAUAGGUUGGGUGUGUAAGCGCUGUGAGGCGUUGAGCUAACCAAUACUAAUUGCCCGUGAGGCUUGACCAU
rnacentral:rRNA from 1 species